rnacentral:pre_miRNA from 1 species
CAACUACUCCCUCUGUCCCAAAUUUCUUGUCUUAGAUUUGUCUAGAUACGGAUGUAUCUAAUACUAAAAUGUGACUUGAUACAUCCGCAUCUAGACAAAUCUAAGACAAGAAUUUUGGGACGGAGGGAGUACUUU